GAUGAACGCUGGCGGCGUGCCUAAUACAUGCAAGUCGAGCGAACAGACGAGGAGCUUGCUCCUUCGACGUUAGCGGCGGACGGGUGAGUAACACGUAGGUAACCUACCUAUAAGACUGGGAUAACUUCGGGAAACCGGAGCUAAUACCGGAUAAUAUUUCGAACCGCAUGGUUCGAUAGUGAAAGAUGGCUUUGCUAUCACUUAUAGAUGGACCUGCGCCGUAUUAGCUAGUUGGUAAGGUAACGGCUUACCAAGGCAACGAUACGUAGCCGACCUGAGAGGGUGAUCGGCCACACUGGAACUGAGACACGGUCCAGACUCCUACGGGAAGCAGCAGUAGGGAAUCUUCCGCAAUGGGCGAAAGCCUGACGGAGCAACGCCGCGUGAGUGAUGAAGGUCUUCGGAUCGUAAAACUCUGUUAUUAGGGAAGAACAAACGUGUAAGUAACUGUGCACGUCUUGACGGUACCUAAUCAGAAAGCCACGGCUAACUACGUG
rnacentral:rRNA from 1 species